GCUUGUCUCAAAGAUUAAGCCAUGCAUGUCUUAGUGUAAAUAACUCUUAUGAAACUGCGAAUGGCUCAUUAAAUCAGUUAUCGUUUAUUUGAUGGUCCCUUACUACAUGGAUAACCGUAGUAAUUCUAGAGCUAAUACAUGCACAAAGGCCCGACUCACGAAGGGCUGUAUUUAUUAGAUUUAAAGCCGACAUCUUUUGGUGAUUCAUAAUAACUUUUCGAACCUCAUGCCUUUAUGGUGGAGGUGAUUCAUUCAAAUUUCUGCCCUAUCAACUUUCGAUGGUUCGGUAUUGGCCAACCAUGGUGGCAACGGGUAACAGGUUUUCAGCGAAAGAUUCUGGAGAAGAAGCCCGAGUAACAGCUUCUACAUCCAAGGAAGGCAGCAGG
rnacentral:rRNA from 1 species